rnacentral:rRNA from 1 species
AUUGAACGCUGGCGGCAUGCCUUACACGUGCAAGUCGAACGGCAGCACGGGGCAACCUGGUGGCGAGUGGCGAACGGGUGAGUAAUGCAUCGGAACGUACCUCUCAGUGGGGGAUAACGUAGCGAAAGUUACGCUAAUACCGCAUAUUCUGUGAGCAGGAAAGCAGGGGAUCGCAAGACCUUGCGCUGAUUGAGCGGCCGAUGUCAGAUUAGCUAGUUGGUGAGGUAAAGGCUCACCAAGGCGACGAUCUGUAGCGGGUCUGAGAGGAUGAUCCGCCACACUGGAACUGAGACACGGUCCAGACUCCUACGGGAGGCAGCAGUGGGGAAUUUUGGACAAUGGGGGCAACCCUGAUCCAGCCAUGCCGCGUGAGUGAAGAAGGCCUUCGGGUUGUAAAGCUCUUUCGGCCGGGAAGAAAUCGCACGGGCUAAUACCCUGUGUGGAUGACGGUACCGGAAUAAGAAGCACCGGCUAACUACGUGCCAGCAGCCGCGGUAACAC